GACGAACGCUGGCGGCGUGCCUAAUACAUGCAAGUAGAACGCAGUUUCGAACGGGUGCGUAACGCGUAGGUAACCUGCCUCAUAGCGGGGGAUCACUAUUGGAACCGAUAGCUCAUACCGCCUACUGUGAGCUGGACCUGCGUUGUAUUAGCUAGUUGGUGAGGUAAAGGCUCACCAAGGCGACGAUACAUAGCCGACCUGAGAGGGUGAGCGGCCACACGGGGACUGAGACACGGCCCAGACUCCGACGGGAGGCAGCAGUAGGGAAGCUGCGGCAAUGGAUGGAAGUCUGACCGAGCAGCGCCGGGUGAGUGAAGAAGGUUUUCGGAUCGGAAAGCCCUGUUGUGAGGGAAGCGGGAGCUAAUCAGAAAGGGACGGCUAACUACGUGCCAGCAGCCGCGGUAAUUC
rnacentral:rRNA from 1 species